rnacentral:lncRNA from 1 species
UUCUCCUAACUUCUUGGGCACCAAACCUGCAGCUUCUAACCCCAUGUUCUAGCACAACCAAACCCUAGGAGAGAGAAGGAAAAAAUCUCUCUUUCUUUCCUUUAUUUUCUAUUUCUACUCCAGCAUCAUUGACACUUGAAUUUUCAACUUUAAAUCUCCAUUUUUAAGGCUAAAAGGUAUAUAUUUUCAACUCCUAGAAUUUAUGAAUUUAUGGGUUAUAUUUUCAGAUUUUAUUUCCUAAUUUCUUCAAAUUCUUUUUCUUGGAAAUAUUAGGUUUUUGUUGAUCUUUAUGCCUCUAAGCUCAUCAAGGUAAAAAACCUUUAAAUUGGAAUAGUUGAUAUGAUGGGUUUGAGAAUUAAACUAGAAUUCUAGAUUAAAAAUUAGGCUAGAAUGUAGUUUAUCAAGAGUAUGCUUAUUAGAAUUAUUAAGUUUAAAUUUAUGAUAUAUUUGAAGCUAUUAUUGUUUUUUGGCAACUAUAAGUUUUAAUGGUAUUUCGGGACUACUCGGAUUAAGAUCUUGUAGGUGCUAGUCUUGUUAGGUUGCAUUGUUAAGGUGAGUGAACUUGCAUUAAAUUAUUUUUUGGGGAAAUACAUAUGUGUUGGGAUAAAGCACUUAGAUGAUUUUAUUUGAUUUUUUUUCUCUAAAUCAUGCAUGGGAACAAGCCCUUGAUGAAACAUUUUAUGUUGUAAAAUGUGUAAUGUGAUGAACCCAUGUGUUCCUAUAUUCUGAUGAUAUAUAUGUUAUGCUUUGAAUGAUAAUAUUGUGUGAUAAUUGUAACCACGCGUGUGCGGUGUGGGAGUGCACAUGCAAAAACUUGUCAGUUAAAAUCCUACUACGCAAGUAUACGUAUCGAAUAGAUAGUAUAUUAGCAAGCAGGGUAUGGAUCCCACAGGAAUUAAUCUAAAAUUUUACUAAGUACUAAAAUUAGAACAAUUUAAUCUUAUCCAAAUAAUCAAAAUUAAUUAAUUAACUAAAACUAAUUAACUAAAAUUAAAACCAAUAAGAAAAAUCAAAUAAUAAUAACUUGAAAAAAUAUCAAAUCAAACAAGCCUAGGAUUACAAUAUCCCUCACACUUCAUCUAAAUCUUACCUCUCUUUCUUAACUUAUUUUAAUGGGUUGAAUUGCUAACCUAGAGUCCUAAAUUAUUUAUAAGGGUCUCCCGACUCAUCUUAUAAAAAUAUCUAUUUUAACCAAAACACUAUAUCCCUAUGUGAAUUGAAAUUAAAACAGACUCAUUAAGUUCAGGCUCUAAUUUGGCUACAUAUGGCCUAUAGGUAUAUCCCUAUCCUAUACACAUAUCAAUUAUUAUGAUCAUAUGCUAUUCCAAUUUUAGUUUACUCUAAGGUUGAAUUGAGGGGUUUUACGAGGAAUUAAACUAAAUUGCAUUGUUUUUAACAUAAGUGCAUCAUGAUUUAUAAACUUUCCUUAUCGUUUGCUUGUUCCCUUCCUAUGUUCACUCACUGGGUUUAUACUCAUUCUUUUCAACUUCAUGUUUUAGUUUUCAGGCUCAAAGGUAGUUGGAUCCUAGGAAGAGGUGCUUCCUCCUAUUCUUCUUACGAUAGGUUUACCAGCACACCCCAUGAUAGUAUCCACGCCCGAGUCAAUCCGCUGAUAGUCAAGGUCUUUUGUAUGUAUAUAUGGUUAUUUAAAUGUAAUUCAUGAG